CGUUGGUGUUGGAGCCCACGUUGAAGAUGACCACGGCGGAGGCGUUCUGCAGGAACGCGUUCCGGAUCUUAUCCCUCAGCGACCCCUUCCGGGUCUCAAAUUCAACCUAAUCUGCGACUUGGUCCAGGUGGAGGCAAAAGGGGAAGCGACCCCUUGACCUAUGAAGAGAGGAACAACUUCCUGCGUCUCAAAUAGAAAGGUGGAAGAGAGAAUCCAGGAGUGCUGCUCUAGGAAAAUCAUCCACUUGGAAAUAUGAUCCUUUCUUUAGCCUGGCCUACCUCCACCGCUGCCUGAGCGAUCCGGUAAAACACAGCCGGUGGCGUCACUCCUUUGCUCAAAAGCCCCCAGCGGUACUCCAUCUCAUUUAGGGUAAAAGGCAAAGCUUUGAGAACAGCCUAUCCACAUGACAC